rnacentral:rRNA from 1 species
UACGGAAGGCAGCAGUGGGGAAUAUUGCACAAUGGGCGAAAGCCUGAUGCAGCUAUGCCGCGUGUAUGAAGAAGGCCUUAGGGUUGUAAAGUACUUUCAUCGGGGAGGAAAAACAAAACUAAUAAUUUUAUUUUCUUUGACGUUACCCGAAAAAGAAGCACCGGCUAACUCCGUGCCAGCAGCCGCGGUAAUACGGAGGGUGCUAGCGUUAAUCAGAAUUACUGGGCGUAAAGAGCACGUAGGUGGUUUUUUUAAGUCAGAUGUGAAAUCCCUGGGCUUAACCUAGGAACUGCAUUUUGAAACUGAAAUACUAGAGUAUCGUAGAGGGAGGUAGAAUUCUAGGUGUAGCGGUGAAAUGCGUAGAUAUCUGGAGGAAUACCGGUGGCGAAGGCGGCCCCUGGACAAGACUGACGCUCAUGUGCGAAAGCGUGGGGAGCGAAACAGGGAUUAGAUACC